rnacentral:rRNA from 1 species
AGGAACUGGGGGGGUGCUAUACAUGCAGUCGAACGAGUUCUCGUUGAUGAUCGGUGCUUGCACCGAGAUUCAACAUGGAACGAGUGGCGGACGGGUGAGUAACACGUGGGUAACCUGCCCUUAAGUGGGGGAUAACAUUUGGAAACAGAUGCUAAUACCGCAUAGAUCCAAGAACCGCAUGGUUCUUGGCUGAAAGAUGGCGUAAGCUAUCGCUUUUGGAUGGACCCGCGGCGUAUUAGCUAGUUGGUGAGGUAAUGGCUCACCAAGGCGAUGAUACGUAGCCGAACUGAGAGGUUGAUCGGCCACAUUGGGACUGAGACACGGCCCAAACUCCUACGGGAGGCAGCAGUAGGGAAUCUUCCACAAUGGACGCAAGUCUGAUGGAGCAACGCCGCGUGAGUGAAGAAGGCUUUCGGGUCGUAAAACUCUGUUGUUGGAGAAGAAUGGUCGGCAGAGUAACUGUUGUCGGCGUGACGGUAUCCAACCAGAAAGCCACGGCUAACUACGUGCCAGCAGCCGCGGUAAUACGUAGGUGGCAAGCGUUAUCCGGAUUUAUUGGGCGUAAAGCGAGCGCAGGCGGUUUUUUAAGUCUGAUGUGAAAGCCCUCGGCUUAACCGAGGAAGCGCAUCGGAAACUGGGAAACUUGAGUGCAGAAGAGGACAGUGGAACUCCAUGUGUAGCGGUGAAAUGCGUAGAUAUAUGGAAGAACACCAGUGGCGAAGGCGGCUGUCUGGUCUGUAACUGACGCUGAGGCUCGAAAGCAUGGGUAGCGAACAGGAUUAGAUACCCUGGUAGUCCAUGCCGUAAACGAUGAAUGCUAGGUGUUGGAGGGUUUCCGCCCUUCAGUGCCGCAGCUAACGCAUUAAGCAUUCCGCCUGGGGAGUACGACCGCAAGGUUGAAACUCAAAGGAAUUGACGGGGGCCCGCACAAGCGGUGGAGCAUGUGGUUUAAUUCGAAGCAACGCGAAGAACCUUACCAGGUCUUGACAUCUUUUGAUCACCUGAGAGAUCAGGUUUCCCCUUCGGGGGCAAAAUGACAGGUGGUGCAUGGUUGUCGUCAGCUCGUGUCGUGAGAUGUUGGGUUAAGUCCCGCAACGAGCGCAACCCUUAUGACUAGUUGCCAGCAUUUAGUUGGGCACUCUAGUAAGACUGCCGGUGACAAACCGGAGGAAGGUGGGGAUGACGUCAAAUCAUCAUGCCCCUUAUGACCUGGGCUACACACGUGCUACAAUGGAUGGUACAACGAGUUGCGAGACCGCGAGGUCAAGCUAAUCUCUUAAAGCCAUUCUCAGUUCGGACUGUAGGCUGCAACUCGCCUACACGAAGUCGGAAUCGCUAGUAAUCGCGGAUCAGCACGCCGCGGUGAAUACGUUCCCGGGCCUUGUACACACCGCCCGUCACACCAUGAGAGUUUGUAACACCCGAAGCCGGUGGCGUAACCCUUUUAGGGAGCGAGCCGUCUAAGGUGGGACAAAUGAUUAGGGUGAAGUCGUAACAAGGAAGCCUAGCCCC